rnacentral:rRNA from 1 species
GAUGAACGCUGGCGGCAUGCCUAACACAUGCAAGUCGAUCGGUAAGGCUCUUCGGAGUACACGAGAGGCGGACGGCUGAGUAACGCGUAGGAACACACCCUGCAGUGAGGGAUAAGACACCGAAAGGUGUUCUAAUACCGCAUACGGUCUUCGGAUUAAAGCAUUUAUGCGCUGAAGGAGUGGCCUGCGUCAUAUUAGAUAGUUGGUGAGGUAAUGGCUCACCAAGUCGAUGAUGUGUAGCUGGUCUGAGAGGAUGAUCAGCCAGACUGGAACUGAGACACGGUCCAGACUCCUACGGGAGGCAGCAGUGAGGAAUAUUGCACAAUGAGCGAAAGCUUGAUGGAGCAAUGCCGCGUGCGGGAUGAAGGCCCUCGGGUUGUAAACUGCUUUUAUAAGAGAAGAUUAUGACGGUAACUUAUGAAUAAGGGACGGCUAACUACGUG